rnacentral:rRNA from 1 species
ACAGAGACUGCAAGCGUUAUUCGGAUUCACUGGGCGUAAAGGGUGCGCAGGCGGUUGGGUGUGUCAGAUGUGAAAUCCCGAGGCUCAACCUCGGAACUGCGUCUGAAACUACUCGACUAGAGUACUGGAGAGGGUAACGGAAUUCACGGUGUAGCAGUGAAAUGCGUAGAUAUCGUGAGGAACACCAGAGGCGAAGGCGGUUACCUGGACAGUUACUGACGCUCAGGCACGAAAGCAUGGGGAGCAAAAGGGA